GGCACAAUAAGCUCCACAACCAUCUUCACACGGUCACCAGGCAUAACCAUUUUCGACUCUUCAUCCUUCUCAUUCUUAAUAGUAGUCACUUUCCCAGUGACAUCUGUAGUUCUCAUGUAAAACUGAGGCCUGUAUCCAGUGAAAAAAGGUGAAUGCCUCCCACCUUCAUCCUUCUUCAAAAUAUAUACAAUCGCCUCAAACUUUGUAUGAGGUGUAAUCGAUCCAGGCUUAGCCAAAACCAUCCCUCUCUGGAUAUCAAUCUUCUGAAUACCUCUUAACAACAACCCGACAUUAUCACCAGCCAAAGCCUCAUCAAGAAACUUCUGAAACAUUUCAACUCCAGUCACUGUUGUACCCCUAGUAUCCUUCAACCCCACAAUAUCAACGGUCUCCCCAACCUUAAUCGUCCCUCUCUCAACACGACCAGUGGCAACAGUCCCACGUCCCGUGAUCGAAAAAACAUCCUCAAUUGCCAUUAAGAAGGGCAACUCAGUCUGCCUCUGUGGAAUAGGAAUAUAACUAUCAACAUUAUCCAUCAAAGCAUAAAUCUUGUCAACCCACUCAUUGUCCCCUCUCUUAAUCGCGGGAUUCUCCAUCAGUGCUUCCAAUGCCAACAAUGCUGAUCCUGACACAAUUGGAAUAUCAUCCCCUGGAAACUCAUACUUAUUCAAUUCCUCCCUAACCUCCAACUCCACAAGCUCCAAAAGCUCGGCAUCAUCAACCUGAUCCUCUUUAUUCAAGAAAACAACCAUAUUCGGAACCCCCACUUGUUUCGCCAACAAAAUGUGUUCUUUAGUCUGUGGCAUUGGCCCAUCAGCACCCGAAACCACUAAAAUCGCUCCGUCCAUCUGCGCAGCCCCUGUAAUCAUAUUCUUGACAUAAUCAGCAUGCCCUGGACAAUCCACAUGAGCAUAAUGCCUACUCUCAGUCUCAUACUCAACAGUAGCUGUAUUAAUAGUAAUCCCACGCGCUCUCUCCUCAGGAGCAGCAUCAAUUUCAUCGUACUUCUUGGGUGCAGACCCUCCCAUAGCAGCAAGCGCCAUGGUCAACGCAGCAGUCAGAGUGGUUUUCCCAUGGUCAACGUGCCCAAUUGUGCCUAUAUUGAUAUGGGGUUUCUUCCUUUCGAAUUUCCCACGCGCUGCGCGUACGGUCAGCCUGGUGGCGCGUGAGCGAAACGGGGAGGUGGGUGUUUGAAAUUGGGAGGACAACGUUGAUGGGUUGGCGAGAAAAGAGGAGGUGAGGAUAAAUUUCCGUGAACUUGUCGGAGAAAAGGCGGAAUUAGGGUUAGGGUUUGCAGGGUUUAUGAGGUUUAUAGAAGAAGAUAGAGCUGAAAUCGCCAUUUUUGCUUCCAGCAAACAAGAGGGGUUUGGAGAAUUUUGGGAGAGAUGAGAUAAUAACAAGGAGAUUGUGUGUUUUGUGUGAGUGUGUGUUCUCCUUUAUCUAUCUACAACACAACAUUUUGUAUCUAUAGUCUGUAGAGAUACAAUUUCUAACCUCAUAUCUCACCCUAUCCACUUUCACAAUUUCAAGAUAACAUUUUCAUUUUUACUGUUUUUCUAAAAUUAAAUAAAUAAAUUACAAAAAAAAAAUAAACAAACAAGAGAUUUGGGAAGAGUUUGCUAUGUGUUCAGAGUGAAUUUAUGGUUUGUAGAAAUUUUCAUUAUAAAUAUUUAUUUUUCUACUCCAAGUGUUCAUGAAAGGCACUAGUUGAUUUCUAAAUGCUUUGGUUUUUUAAGUUGUUUGUGACAUGUUCUUUGAUGUUUCAGUUUUGCUAAAUCUCUGGCUCUCUUGGAAAUUUUUGUGGUUGUUGAAGUGCAUUUGUGUCGCUCUGUAAACUACAUGCUACUCCAACCAACAAGUGAAAUUAUAUCUGAUAAAGCCAUCAAAUCCCAAAAAUAAAUUUUUUGUAAUCAAUACUUCUGCAGAGAAUAUUGGAUACAACUUGAUAUAACUCUAUAAAGCUCGUAUUGAUUCAUUUAAAUAAGAUCAUGGUGCAGAUAAUGACAUUAUUGUGAGCCGGUGAACCAUUUCAUAGCAAUCUGCCUUGCCACCCGAAAGACUGAAUCCAGUUCUGUACCUCCUGGAGGCACACAUCUAACUUGUUCUUAAGCGGAUUCAGUCUAUCCCUAAGAUAGUAGAGUUUAGCCCUCCUCACUUUCUUCUUGUCCAGCACCUUUAUCUCCUUUAUAUUAGGCGAAUACCUGCACCAGACACCCUAUUUGGUCACCAAGUGCAGGAAUGUCAAAGAAAAGAUGUAAUCAAAGCACAGAACCAAAAUCCUUAAGUGCUUUUAAUUAUUAUGUGAACAGGUUCACAUAAUCAAGCAAAAGACUUGCAGCAACAAGCAUGUCCAAGUAAAUAUACAAUCAGUAAUGUAUUAAUCUUUGAAGGUGAGAGGCCAUAUCUAACUUUGUAAAUUGAAUUGUACAUCAAGUAUAUUUAAACAGAACAGCUAGUACUUGGUAACUAGAAGACUAUCACUUUCAAAAAACUGGUACACCUCAUGAUAUAUGUUACAGUUCAUCGAGUUCUUUUGUAACCAACUCUUAACAUGACAAUAUCACUAAGUUCUGUCAAUUCACAAGAUACGAUGAAAGGCAAGAAGAGUAGUUGCAUUGUAGAUGCUGUAAGAUGAUAAAUUAAUUCAAGGGUCACAGAAUAGUCUCGCUUAGCAGCAAUUCGCCAUAUUUCAUUUGUUAUUACUAUUACAUAUACACCACCAGAGUUGAGCAUGAGCAAGUAAGAAUUUUAACACUGAGAGGAGAAAAAACGUAUUUCAGUGGACUAAAGCUAAUAAAUAUUCAUAGAGAGAAGUUCUGCAUGAGUAGGUUUCACCUUAUAAGAACUCUCGCAAACCAUUAUAUUGUGUUUGGUUGGAUAAUUUGGAAUGGACUGGAUGAUGGAUUGAAUUAAAGGGAAGUAAUGGAGGAAGGACGCAAGAUUUGAAAAUAAGAUAAUUCACUGUUAUGAGAUUUGGGAAGAGAACAGGGAUGAGGGAAACAGCUUCCAGAUAGACUGAAAACUUUUGCAACCUUUUGAAAAGCAUUUAUAUUAACUAAAUAACUAAUAGCACUGAAGAAGCCAUCUGCAGUAUAACAGAAUUCAUAUACACCACUUACCUAGACACACAGAGCAACUCAAGUCAUCGAAAAUAAUACAAGAAAGUCCGCGGCAGCCCCAGAAAAGCAGACAAGCAUACUGUAUUUUCAUAAUAUAGCCAGCCAUUAUAAAGUCAUCCAUGUAUAGAUUAUACAGCUGAACAGAAUCCCACAAUAACAAAGAAGGGCAUGUAUAUCAUUAUUUGUGAGCAAAUUGCAAUGAAACUGUGACAUCCAAAAUAUUUCAGUAACAGUUAUGCAUACAAAUUAUUAGUUAAUUCUUGCUGAAGUUGAGAUUGGAUACCAUGGACCCAUGAUCAAAACAGAAGUAACAAUAAGUAGACAGAUUUCUAUGAGGCAAAUCACAAUGUGAAGUAGUACAGAUAAUCAUUAAAUGCCAUUUGCAGUUGCAGAUAUACCGGUGACUUGUUGAAUAUGUAGCUAAGCAAGUGAUUUUAUGUUCAAUACACUCCUGAUCUAUAACUUCUCCACGGAGAAUAGUUGUAGAACUACAUAACUUUUAAGAGAGCAGCAUCAGCAUCUCAAGUAGAGCCGGCCAAACGGGCGGGCCGUGCCGGUUCGGGCCGGUUCAAACGGGUUCCGAACCGUCAUCGGUGGAACCGUAACCGGCCCGUCAAACUGGCGGUCCGUGCCGUGCCCGGGCCGGGCUGGGAAAAAGAAAGUCGUAACCGUGAUAUACGGUUUACACGGGUUUUGCGGUUCAGCGGUUCGGGCCGAAUAAUAACAUGCUGCGGUUCUACGGUUCGGUUAUACGGUUCACGGGUUUGCGCAUGUGACUUUGUGUUAGUAACUAAAGUACAACAGUUGUCAGUGGCUGAAUCACUGUCAAGUCCAACAGAGACACAUAGUACUUGUUUUAUUUUUUGUUUCUUUUUUGUUUUUUUUGCCGGUUUAUUUUUGUUUUUAUUUUUUUUAAUUUAGUUUAAGUAUUAUUAUGUAACUAAUUAAGAGAUCGUAAAUUUAUGGAUUAAGUAUUAUUAUGCAACUAAUUAAUAAAUUAAUGGGUUAAGUAUUAUUAUGUAACUAAUUUUAACAAUUCUUUAAUGUUAAAAAUUGGAUAAUAAAGUUUUAUAUGAUAUUAGUUUUGGAAAUUAUUUUUGUUUAGUGUUAUUAUGUAAUUAAUUAUCAAUAAAGUGUAAACUAAUAAAUAAUUACCUAAUUUUAAAAACUUAUCCGAAAUAAAACUAAUUAAAUUAUUUUUAAAAAUAAAAUUACCUAAAUUUAAAAACUGCACCGAAACAAAAUUAAUUAAUUCUUUUGCAAAUAAAAUUACUGAAAUUUAAAAACUAAAACGACACGAAAUAAAAUUAAGUAAUUUUUUUAUAUAGUAAACGAAAAUAAACUAAACUAACUAAACAACAACUAAAAUUAACAAAAUAAAACAAAAACUAACAAAUUAAAACUCAUGCAAAAAGAACAGAAAGCAUUGUGAAGUUUGCUGAUGGACUAAAAAUUGGUGGUCGAUGCACGAGUCUACGGUUCCGCGGUUCCGCGGUUCAAACCGCGGUUCCGCGGUUCAAACCAGGCCGGUUCCACGGGUUUCCGCGGUUCCGGGCCGGUUACGGUUCGGUCUUCCAUUUCCUAACCCGUAUUCGGCACGUGCUCAGUAUCGGUUCAGGUCGGUUUUGAACCGGCCCGUGUUUAGACGGUUACGGGCGGUUAAAAAGUCGGUUCGGGGCGUGCCGGUUCGGUCGGUUCGGCCCGUUUGGCCACCUCUAAUCUCAAGUAGCUAAGCAACAUUAAUAAGGGUGACACUAAGAAAGAAAGUCAAAACAAAUUAAUUUGAACAUGAGAUAGUACAAUCCAACUAAAAGGAGAGCUAAGAAAUUUAGAACCAAACUCGUUGCUGCAUAUGUAACAUUGGAUUCAGCAUGUUUAAGAGACAAGGGGCAAAACUAUUUUAAAAAAGAAAAAAGACAAAAGAUUGAAACUUUGAAUCACCCAAAAGUGAAGGCCAUCCCACCAAGUUCAAUCACUCAAUAAUGGCAUUAAUAACUCCAGCACCAACAGUCUUUCCUCCUUCUCUAAUAGCAAACCUCAUUCCUUGCUCACAAGCAAUCGGCACAAUAAGCUCCACAACCAUCUUCACACGGUCACCAGGCAUAACCAUUUUCGACUCUUCAUCCUUCUCAUUCUUAAUAGUAGUCACUUUCCCAGUGACAUCUGUAGUUCUCAUGUAAAACUGAGGCCUGUAUCCAGUGAAAAAAGGUGAAUGCCUCCCACCUUCAUCCUUCUUCAAAAUAUAUACAAUCGCCUCAAACUUUGUAUGAGGUGUAAUCGAUCCAGGCUUAGCCAAAACCAUCCCUCUCUGGAUAUCAAUCUUCUGAAUACCUCUUAACAACAACCCGACAUUAUCACCAGCCAAAGCCUCAUCAAGAAACUUCUGAAACAUUUCAACUCCAGUCACUGUUGUACCCCUAGUAUCCUUCAACCCCACAAUAUCAACGGUCUCCCCAACCUUAAUCGUCCCUCUCUCAACACGACCAGUGGCAACAGUCCCACGUCCCGUGAUCGAAAAAACAUCCUCAAUUGCCAUUAAGAAGGGCAACUCAGUCUGCCUCUGUGGAAUAGGAAUAUAACUAUCAACAUUAUCCAUCAAAGCAUAAAUCUUGUCAACCCACUCAUUGUCCCCUCUCUUAAUCGCGGGAUUCUCCAUCAGUGCUUCCAAUGCCAACAAUGCUGAUCCUGACACAAUUGGAAUAUCAUCCCCUGGAAACUCAUACUUAUUCAAUUCCUCCCUAACCUCCAACUCCACAAGCUCCAAAAGCUCGGCAUCAUCAACCUGAUCCUCUUUAUUCAAGAAAACAACCAUAUUCGGAACCCCCACUUGUUUCGCCAACAAAAUGUGUUCUUUAGUCUGUGGCAUUGGCCCAUCAGCACCCGAAACCACUAAAAUCGCUCCGUCCAUCUGCGCAGCCCCUGUAAUCAUAUUCUUGACAUAAUCAGCAUGCCCUGGACAAUCCACAUGAGCAUAAUGCCUACUCUCAGUCUCAUACUCAACAGUAGCUGUAUUAAUAGUAAUCCCACGCGCUCUCUCCUCAGGAGCAGCAUCAAUUUCAUCGUACUUCUUGGGUGCAGACCCUCCCAUAGCAGCAAGCGCCAUGGUCAACGCAGCAGUCAGAGUGGUUUUCCCAUGGUCAACGUGCCCAAUUGUGCCUAUAUUGAUAUGGGGUUUCUUCCUUUCGAAUUUCCCACGCGCUGCGCGUACGGUCAGCCUGGUGGCGCGUGAGCGAAACGGGGAGGUGGGUGUUUGAAAUUGGGAGGACAACGUUGAUGGGUUGGCGAGAAAAGAGGAGGUGAGGAUAAAUUUCCGUGAACUUGUCGGAGAAAAGGCGGAAUUAGGGUUAGGGUUUGCAGGGUUUAUGAGGUUUAUAGAAGAAGAAGAUAGAGCUGAAAUCGCCAUUUUUGCUUUAAGCAAACAAGAGGGGUUCGGAGAAUUUUGGGAGAGAUGAGAUAAUAACAAGGAGAUUGUGUGUUUUGUGUGAGUGAGUGUGUUCCUUUAUCUAUCUACAAAACAUUUUGUAUCUAUAGUUUCUAGUCUAGAGAUACAAAUUCUAACCUCAUAUCUCAUCCUAUCCACUUUCACAAUUUCAAGAUAACAUUUUCAUUUUAACUAUUUUUCUAAAAUUCAGUAAAUAAAUUACAAAAAAGAUUUGGGAUGGGAGGAGUUUGCUAUUUGUUCAAAGUGAAUUUAUGAUUUGCAGAAAUUUUCAAUAUAAAUAUUUGUUUUUUUAGUUUUUAUGAAAGGCACUAUUAAGUUGGUUGUGACAUGUUCUUUGAUGUUUCAGUUUUGUUAAAAAUCUGGCUCUCUUGGAGAAUUUUUUGUGGUUGAUGAAGUGCAUUAGUGCCACUCUGUAAACUACAUGCUACUCCAACAAGUGAGAUUAUAUCUGAUAAGCCAUCAAAUCCCAAAAAUAAAAUUUUUGUAAUCAAUACUUCUACAGAGAAUAUUGGAUACAACUUGAGAUAACUCUAUAAAGCUCGUAUCAAUUCACUUAAAUAAGAUCAUGGUGCAGAUAAUGAAAUUAUUGUGAGCUGGUGAAACAUUUCAUAGCAAUCUGCCUUGCCACCCGAAAGACUGAAGCCAGUUUUGUACCUCCUGGAGGCACACGUCUUACUUGUUCUUAAGCGGAUUCAGUCUAUCCCUAAGAUAGUAGAGUUUGGCCCUCCUCACUUUCUUCUUGUCCAGCACCUUUAUCUCCUUUAUAUUAGGCGAAUACCUGCACCAGACACUCUAUUUGGUCACCAAGUACAGGAAUGUCAAAGAAAAGGUGUAAUCAAAGCACAGAACCAAAAACCUUAAGUGCUUUUAAUUAUUAUUGAUUUUCAAGGGAUGAUUGUGUGUGUGUGUGUGUGUGUGUGUGUGUGAUUAUUAUUUUAGAGAGAUGUUAUAUAUAAGAUAAUGUAUUUGUGAUGUAACAAACGGGUGUAUUUCUGUAAGUUAAAAAUAGUGAAUGGGGGGGGGGGGGGGGGGGUGUUGAGCUCUAGUUAAGCUUGUUUGGAAUGGAAUGGAGGAUGGAAUGAAAAUUUUGAACAUCUAUCAAUAACAUAAUUCAAAUUUUCAUUCCACUCCCCCCAGUUUCAUUCAUCCAAACCAAACACAAUCUUAGAUUAGGUAAAGCAGCUUCCAGAUAGACUUAAAACUUUUGCAACUUUUUGAAAAACAUUUAUAUUAACUAAUAGCACUGAAGUAUAACAAAAACUAGUUUCUAGUUAACUUACAAUGGAAAGAGAGAUUCAACUCCAAUUCCUGUUAUCAGCCUUCUUAGUCUAAUUGUAGUGUUGAGACCUGCAUUGCGCCUUGCAAUAACAAUGCCUUUCAAGGUUGAAAUACGUCUCUUGUUCUCAGGUGUUUCCUAUGACCAGAUGAAUUAUAACAGAAUGUAGACGUAAAUACUCCCAAUCCACCAAGGAUACAUACUCACAGUAGAUAUUUAUGGUAUAUAUUUUUAUAUAUGACCAACACAUGUCCCUCUCUAAAACAAAUUUUUACCACUUUGAGCUGGAUUAUAUAACCAGGCUUGAUAUCAGGUAUCUCUCUAUGUGCUUUAACUUCUUCCACUGCUUCCUUGUCAAGAAUCUGCGGAUGUAUAACGAUUUUUUAGUCUAAUACAAAAAGCAACAAACACCUUUAAAUUCAGCAGUUGGUCUCCAUUCUUAAAAAAACUAGACUGCUCAUACCUGCAUAAUAUUUCUGGCUGUUUUAUCAAGCCUCUUGAACUUGAUGCGUGGGACUACAUCAGGGAGAGGAGCAGGAUUAUCUUUUAAAACAGAUGCAGAACUGCCCGUCGUGAUGCAUCUACUGUUUGUAGUUGACUUCAUGGCAGACAGCUGUAAAGAACUUUUAUCAGAAUUUCCUUCGAAUAAGUACUUCGAAUUUCAGAUAACAAUCUGUGCUACAGUAAAAACUUACUGGGAAUAUGGUUUGUGUAUAAUCAUAUACAGCCUUCAAUUUAUAAUACUUUUUAAGAAAAAUAUUGUAGCCUACUAGCCUUUAUACCAUGAAAUUAUGUGGUCUCUCAUAGCUAAAACAAAAACAGGACACUUACUCCAUUACAUAAAACAAAUAAAUUAGGCAAUAACCGGAGCUGCUGAGUUAGUUUAGGCCAAACAGUGUAAUUUUACCAGGAUAAUUUCAGCAGUUGUCUCUGCAGUAUGUUGUUAGCAUAUAUGGCUAGGAUUUGAAGAUAAUUAAGAUAGUAUGGAAGUAAAAGGACUUGAUACUACACUCGUUUGAGGCUUCUCCUUUUCAAAAUUCAUCUUGCAACAAAAAAUCUUCUUCUUUUUUUUCUCACCUGAUCCGAUCUAUCUUUUUUUUUCUAUAUAUAUACUCAGGUUUUAAUAAAUUUCCCUCUAGAAACUAACCCACGACCACAUGCUUAUAAAUAUUUCACUUGAAAUACCUCUCAAUUACCAUCACGACAAACUCUCCUCAUAACAAACAGAAGUUAGCCCCAAAAUGAUCUCUCUCUACUCUAAAUGAAAAAAAAAUUAUGAAUAAUAUGAAGACACAUCCAUCAAUGAUGUUGAACAUUUGUUUAUUUUGUAUACGGGAAUACCUUAUGAAUGUGUUAUAUCACAUGCUUUUAUCCACACAAGCAAUCUCACUCCCACUUUCUCAUAUCACAAAAUCAAGACAAGUAUUCCCUAGUAGUUCAAUCGAGUCUCAUAAUACCUCAAAACUGUAAUAAAUGACUUUAUCCACAGAAGCAAUCCCAGUUUCCACAACACAAAACUAAGACAAAAUACUCCCUCAGUUGCUCCAUUGAGUCGCAUAAUAACACCUUUUACCAUUAAAUCUUUUGACAAAUUAUGUGAUCAUAGUACGGAGAUAAACUAAAUUAACAGAAAUCAAUUCAAUAAUCAAAAAAAUGCUACCUUUUGUCCCACAAACUAUUUUGCAAGAACUAGUACCCAAAGAAAAUCCUAUCCAACGACAAUAUACAAAAUAAACAAUCUUUUCCACUAAUCUCAACCAAGGCAAUAAAUUCUACAACAAGAAAGUAGCUAAAAUGGUAUAAUGUCAUACCAAGGAACACGAAAGCCUCGAAAUUGGGCUUGUCGAAAAUCGACCAGAACAACGAUUCAAGAAACCAGGAAGUGCAUUUGAGCUAAAAGAAUCAACCCCUUUUGAAGAAAUUCCUGAAAAAGCCCUAGUUGUUACAUAAUCAACAUUUCUUGAAUUACUAUGCAUAAGCCUAGUAGAACCUCGAAUCUUGCCCAAAAAAGAUUGCAUCUUUUACUUCAAAUCAAUACAAUCCUGCAAUUAGACAAACCCCAUGAAGUUUAAAGAAAGAAUUUGUAUGUAUGUAGAUAGAUACACAGGCUAUAGAUACAGAAAAAGA
rnacentral:lncRNA from 1 species